UACGUAGGGUGCAAGCGUUAAUCGGAAUUACUGGGCGUAAAGCGUGCGCAGGCGGUGAUGUAAGACAGGUGUGAAAUCCCCGGGCUUAACCUGGGAACUGCAUUUGUGACUGCAUCGCUGGAGUGCGGCAGAGGGGGGAUGGAAUUCCGCGUGUAGCAGUGAAAUGCGUAGAUAUGCGGAGGAACACCGAUGGCGAAGGCAAUCCCCUGGGCCUGCACUGACGUCAUGCACGAAAGCGUGGGAGCAAC
rnacentral:rRNA from 1 species